CGAAGGUGCAAGCGUUAAUCGGAAUUACUGGGCGUAAAGCGCGCGUAGGUGGUUCGUUAAGUUGGAUGUGAAAGCCCGGGCUCAACCUGGGAACUGCAUCCAAAACUGGCGAGCUAGAGUACGGUAGAGGGUGGUGGAAUUUCCUGUGUAGCGGUGAAAUGCGUAGAUAUAGGAAGGAACACCAGUGGCGAAGGCGACCACCUGGACUGAUACUGACACUGAGGUGCGAAAGCGUGGGGAGCAAACAGGAUU
rnacentral:rRNA from 1 species